rnacentral:rRNA from 1 species
GUAAGGCAUAGGUAACCUACCUUCCGGACUGGGAUAUGCGGUUGAAAAGCCGUGCAAUACUAGACAUCGUCUCUGCGAGGCAUCUCGUGGUUUCGAAAUGGUCCGCCGCCGGAAGAGGGGCUUAUGUGCUACCAGCUUGUUGGUGAGGUAAUGGCUCACCAAGGCUACGACGGCUAGGGGGUGUGAGAGCACGACCCCCGUCACUGGCACUGAGACACUGGCCAGACUCCUACGGGAGGCUGCAGUCGAGAAUCUUCGGCAAUGGGGGCAACCCUGACCGAGCGACGCCGCGUGGUGGAUGAAGGCCUUCGGGUUGUAAACACCUGUUGGGGGGGAACAAAUUUGAGUGAACCCCUGAGGAAGCACGGGCUAAGUUCGUGCCAGCAGCCGCGGUAAGACGAACCGUGCAAACGUUACUCGGAAUCACUGAGCUUAAAGAGCACGUAGGCGGCAACAUAAGUCAGAGGUGAAAUCCCAUCGGCUCAACCGUGGAACAGCCUCUGAUACUGUGUUGCUUGAGGGGGAACGGGGCAUUCGGAACUUCCGGUGGAGCGGUGAAAUGUGUUGAUAUCGGAAGGAACGCCGGUGGCGAAAGCGGAAUGCUGGGUCUCUUCUGACGCUGAGGUG